rnacentral:rRNA from 1 species
AUUGAACGCUGGCGGCAGGCCUAACACAUGCAAGUCGAACGAGUGGCGGACGGGUGCGUAAGGUCUGGGAAACUGCCUGAUGGAGGGGGAUAACUACUGUAACCGGUAGCGAAUACCGCAUACCGCCGGAUGUGCCCAGAUGGGUUUAGCUAGUAGGUGAGGUAAAGGUUCACCUAGGCGACGAUCCCUAGCUGGUCUGAGAGGAUGACCAGCCACACUGGAACUGAGACACGGUCCAGGCGCCUACGGGAGGCAGCAGUGGGGAAUAUGGGUCAAUGGGCGCAAGCCGGAUGCAGCCAGGCCGCGUGUGUGAAGAAGGCUUUCGGGUUGUAAAGUUCUUUCAGCGGGGAGGCGUUACCCGACGAAGAAGCACCGGCUAACUCCGUGCCAGCAGCCGCGGUAAUAC